rnacentral:lncRNA from 1 species
AAAUUAAAAAACACAAAGCAUACACAAAUUAUUGUGCACAUAUGCUUAAUUAGAAUAUUGAUAAGAAACAUAAAAGGGAAACAAAUUAACAUUAAAUAACCAAAGAAAGUAAUUUGCAAUGGAGUUACAUGUCAAUCUUUCUUUUCUUCAACCUUUUCUUCUUUUUUUUCUUCAACCUUUUCUUCUUUCUUAGCUUCUUUCACUUCCUUGACUGCCUUCACCUUAGCCUUCCCUGCCUUUGGCUUCAUGAAACAAAAGCAUGAGCAGCAAGGACACUGGAACAAGAACUUCAUUUCCAAUCAAGUGCUCAGAUCUCAAUUUCUGAACAGAGAAUGAAAAUGUUCAGCUUUUCUGUCCUCUUUUUAUCUCCUUUCUUGCUUAAUAAUUUAUAUAUUUAAUUCUCUUUUGUCUUUUACUUUUUCCUCUAUUUUUUCUUAGUAUACAAUCAAUUAUGUAUUUAAAUGUGUAAG